CCUACGGGAGGCAGCAGUGAGGAAUAUUGGUCAAUGGACGAGAGUCUGAACCAGCCAAGUAGCGUGAAGGAUGACUGCCCUGUGGGUUGUAAACUUCUUUUGUAAAGGAAUAAAACGGGGCACGUGUGCCUUUUUGCGUGUACUUUAUGAAUAAGGAUCGGCUAACUCCGUGCCAGCAGCCGCGGUAAUACGGAGGAUCCGAGCGUUAUCCGGAUUUAUUGGGUUUAAAGGGAGCGUAGAUGGGUUGUUAAGUCAGUUGUGAAAGUUUGGGGCUCAACCGUAAAAUUGCAAUUAAUACGGGAAGUCUUGAGUAGAGUUGAGGUAAGCGGAAUUCGUGGUGUAGCGGUGAAAUGCUUAG
rnacentral:rRNA from 1 species